rnacentral:rRNA from 1 species
GAACCGUCCAAACGUUUAUUCGGAAUUACUGGGCUUAAAGGGUGCGUAGGCGGCUCGAUAAGUUGGGUGUGAAAUCCCACGGCUCAACCGUGGAACUGCGCUCAAUACUGUCGGACUUGAGGGAGAUAGAGGUGAGCGGAACUAAUGGUGGAGCGGUGAAAUGCGUUGAUAUCAUUAGGAACACCUGUAGCGAAAGCGGCUCACUGGGUCUCUUCUGACGCUGAGGCACGAAAGCUAGGGUAGCGAACGGGGGAUUGGAUACCCCGGUAGUCCUAGCUGUAAACGAUGAGCACUGGGUCGGAGGCCCCUUCCACAGGCUUCCCGGUCGUAGCGAAAAGUGUUAAGUGCUCCGCCUGGGGGAGUAUGGUCGCAAGGCUG